ensembl:lncRNA
UGUUUUGCCAUAGCCCUGCUAUGAAACUGCAUAACAUUUACAUCAUAACUCUAGAAAUCUUUACAGUGCUCCAACUCAAAACCAACUUGUGACCUAAAAAUGUUUUAAGUAGCUUUUAAAGGGGUCAUAUGAUGCUGCUAAAAACAACAUUAUUUUGUGUAUUUGGUGUAAUGAAAUGUGUUUAUGCGGUUUAACGUUAUUUUCCACAUACUGUACAUUAUUGUUUCUCCUCUAUGCCCUCCCUUAUGAAACGUGAUUGGCCAGCUAUCCAGCGCGUUGUGAUUGGCCAAAUGCCACAAGCGUGAGACACACAGCGUCUAUACGACAUGGUGGCAGCGGCAACAACAAUACUACAACCAGAAUAAAAGGUAUGCCUUCUUUCUUUGCGUGACCAUCUGGGCGGCGUUAUGCAAAUCUUCCCACAUAGUGAUGUAGAUAUGUUGGGGUGUGUUAGAACGAGCCGUUUCAGGGGGCCGUGGAUGAGUGUUAACUUAUAUAAAGAAUAUCUCUUUGGAUUUGAGACGUUAGUCUGUGCAACUUCACAGAUCUUCUUUAUUCACCAAGAGCUUGUAACACUCAAAAGAGAAAGGAAAAUUUGAAAUCGCAUCAUAUGACCCCUUUAAAAACAGCAUCAAAUUAGAUGUCUAGCCAUCAUUAUUCCAGAAGUCUGACACUACAUUAACCAGCUUUUCAUUCCAUUCAUAAACAGACCACAAUGCUGCUGUUGUCCAAUCGAGAUGAAGGACUGAACCAUCUGGCCAAAAGCACCUUUCAUUACCAUCAUGUCUCAUAUCACAAUUCAGAAACUGCCAGAGAAAACAAUAAUCUGUCAAUCGGCUUGGGAUAAGACCGCAAACCGGGAGAUUAUAUUUUCAGAGGCUCAUGGAUUUUCUGCCACUGCAAUGUCCCGAAUUUUGACAGGCCACCUACACCACCUCUUCAUACUGUUGGAUGAAAGGACUUCCUUUCUUUUUCUCUCUCUUUUAUUCUUCCAUAUUCUGGAUGAGAUUUGCAAUCCAACCAAAGAGGAUCUUUUCUGA